UCUGUUAUCCGCCAAGUCUACGACGCCGGUCAUCGGUUUUUCGGCGAAAACUACGUUCAAGAAAUCGUCGAAAAAGCUCCUCAGCUUCCGGGGGACAUAGAGUGGCAUUUCAUUGGGAAUUUACAGAGCAAUAAAGCGAAACCUCUACUUGCGGGUGUACCAAACCUUGCGAUGGUAGAAAGUGUAGAUGAUGAGAAGAUUGCCAAUCAUCUUGAUCGUGUGGUUGGAAAUUUGGGCCGGAAACGUUUGAAGGUCUUAAUCCAAGUAAAUACCAGUGGAGAAGAAUCAAAAUCUGGGGUUGAGCCCUCAGCAUGUGUGGAACUAGCAAAACAUGUGAAUCAGAAUUGCCAAAACCUUGAGUUUUGUGGCCUAAUGACAAUUGGAAUGCUUGACUAUUCAUCAACCCCAGAAAACUUCAAGACGUUAGCGAACUGCAGAAGUGAGGUUUGCAAGGCACUUGGUAUGCCAGAAGAACAAUGUGAACUCUCAAUGGGCAUGUCUAAUGACUUUGAGCAAGCUAUCGAAAUGGGAAGUACCAAUGUGAGAAUUGGAUCUACUAUAUUUGGGCCUAGAGAAUACCCGAAGAAGCAAUAAAACAAGGCUGCCCUUUGCUUGCUUC
rnacentral:misc_RNA from 1 species